GGACUACCGGGGUAUCUAAUCCUGUUUGCUCCCCACGCUUUCGAGCCUCAGCGUCAGUCAUGGACCAGUAAGUCGCCUUCGCCACUGGUGUUCUUCCGAAUAUCUACGAAUUUCACCUCUACACUCGGAGUUCCACUUACCUCUUCCAUACUCUAGGCUAUCAGUUUUGAAGGCAAUUCCAAGGUUGAGCCCUGGGCUUUCACCUCCAACUUGAUAACCCGCCUACGCUCCCUUUACGCCCAGUAAUUCCGAGCAACGCUAGCCCCCUUCGUAUUACCGCGGCGGCUGGCAC
rnacentral:rRNA from 1 species